rnacentral:rRNA from 1 species
CUUUGAUUCUGGCUCAGGAUGAACGCUGGCGGCGUGCUUAACACAUGCAAGUCGAGCGAAGCACUUAAGUUUGAUUCUUCGGAUGAAGACUUUUGUGACUGAGCGGCGGACGGGUGAGUAACGCGUGGGUAACCUGCCUCAUACAGGGGGAUAACAGUUAGAAAUGACUGCUAAUACCGCAUAAGACCACGGUACCGCAUGGUACAGUGGUAAAAACUCCGGUGGUAUGAGAUGGACCCGCGUCUGAUUAGGUAGUUGGUGGGGUAACGGCCUACCAAGCCGACGAUCAGUAGCCGACCUGAGAGGGUGACCGGCCACAUUGGGACUGAGACACGGCCCAGACUCCUACGGGAGGCAGCAGUGGGGAAUAUUGCACAAUGGAGGAAACUCUGAUGCAGCGACGCCGCGUGAAGGAUGAAGUAUUUCGGUAUGUAAACUUCUAUCAGCAGGGAAGAAAAUGACGGUACCUGACUAAGAAGCCCCGGCUAACUACGUGCCAGCAGCCGCGGUAAUACGUAGGGGGCAAGCGUUAUCCGGAUUUACUGGGUGUAAAGGGAGCGUAGACGGCACGGCAAGCCAGAUGUGAAAGCCCGGGGCUCAACCCCGGGACUGCAUUUGGAACUGCUGAGCUAGAGUGUCGGAGAGGCAAGUGGAAUUCCUAGUGUAGCGGUGAAAUGCGUAGAUAUUA